rnacentral:rRNA from 1 species
AUUGAACGCUGGCGGCAUGCCUUACACAUGCAAGUCGAACGGCAGCACGGGUGCUUGCACCUGGUGGCGAGUGGCGAACGGGUGAGUAAUACAUCGGAACAUGUCCUGUAGUGGGGGAUAGCCCGGCGAAAGCCGGAUUAAUACCGCAUACGAUCUACGGAUGAAAGCGGGGGACCUUCGGGCCUCGCGCUAUAGGGUUGGCCGAUGGCUGAUUUGCUAGUUGGUGGGGUAAAGGCCUACCAAGGCGACGAUCAGUAGCUGGUCUGAGAGGACGACCAGCCACACUGGGACUGAGACACGGCCCAGACUCCUACGGGAGGCAGCAGUGGGGAAUUUUGGACAAUGGGCGAAAGCCUGAUCCAGCAAUGCCGCGUGUGUGAAGAAGGCCUUCGGGUUGUAAAGCACUUUUGUCCGGAAAGAAAUCCUUGGCCCUAAUACGGUCGGGGGAUGACGGUACCGGAAGAAUAAGCACCGGCUAACUACGUG